ACCCCCUACGGGACGCAGCAGUGAGGAAUAUUGGUCAAUGGCCGGAAGGCUGAACCAGCCAAGCCGCGUGAAGGACGAAGGGGCCAAGCAUUGUAAACUUCUUUUGUCAAGGGACAAAAUCAGGCUCGAGAGCCUGACCGAGGGUACUUGAAGAAAAAGCAUCGGCUAACUCCGUGCCAGCAGCCGCGGUAAUACGGAGGAUGCGAGCGUUAUCCGGAUUUCUUGGGUUUAAAGGGUGCGUAGUCGGACUGUUA
rnacentral:rRNA from 1 species